rnacentral:rRNA from 1 species
UACAGAGGGUGCAAGCGUUAAUCGGAUUUACUGGGCGUAAAGCGUGCGUAGGCGGUUCAUUAAGUCGGUUGUGAAAUCCCUGGGCUUAACCUGGGAACUGCAUUGGUGACUGGCAGGCUUUGAGUGUGGCAGAGGGAGGUAGAAUUCCACGUGUAGCAGUGAAAUGCGUAGAGAUGUGGAGGAAUACCGAUGGCGAAGGCAGCCUCCUGGGCCAACACUGACGCUCAUGCACGAAAGCGUGGGGAGCAAACAGG